UGACACAUGUUAAACGGCCGCGGUACCCUGACCGUGCAAAGGUAGCAUAAUCACUUGUUCUCUAAAUAGGGACUUGUAUGAAUGGCCACACGAGGGUUUAACUGUCUCUUACUUUUAAUCAGUGAAAUUGACCUAUCCGUGAAGAGGCGGAUAUACACUAAUAAGACGAGAAGACCCUAUGGAGCUUCAAUUUAAUAGCACAAACUAACACCUUAAAAACCCACAGGCAUUAAAACACCGUCCAUGCGCUAUAAAUUUCGGUUGGGGUGACCUCGGAGUACAACAUAACCCCCGAGAUACAAGUAUACCAAGACCUCACCAGUCUAAGUAAACCAAUAUCUAUUGACCCAAUAACUUGAUCAACGGACCAAGUUACCCUAGGGAUAACAGCGCAAUCCUAUUAUAGAGUCCAUAUCGACAAUAGGGUUUACGACCUCGAUGUUGGAUCAAGACAUCCUAGUGGUGUAGCCGCUACUAAGGGU
rnacentral:rRNA from 1 species